GGUGGUGGUGCAUGGCCAUUCUUAUUUGGUGGAGUGAUUUGUCUGGUUAAUUCCAAUAAGGAAGGAGACUCUGGCAUGCUAACUAGUUAAGUGACCCCGGAGUGGUCAGCAUCACCCAACUUCUUAGAAGGACAAGUGGCAUUCAGCCACCUGAGAUUGAACAAUAACAGGUGUGUGAUGCCCUUGAUAUCUGAGGCUGCAUGCACACUACACUGACUGGCUCAGCGUGUGCCUUCUGUGUGCCAGCAGGAGCGAGGAACCCAUUGAACCCCAUUCGUGAUGGGGAUCGGGGAUUGCAAUUAUUCCCCAUGAAUGAGGAAUUCCCAGUAAGUGUGGGUCAUAAGCAUGCAUUAAUUAAGUCCCUGUCCUUUGUACACACUGCCCGUCACUACUACCAAUUGGGUGGUUUAGUGAGGCCCUCGGAAUGGCCCUGAAGGUGUCUGCCCAUGUCCCUGGUUGCGUGCUGAGAAGAAGUCGAACUUGGCUAUCUUGAGGAAGUAAAAGUCCCAACAAGUUUUCUGCAGGUGAACCUGCAGAAGGAUCAUUA
rnacentral:ncRNA from 1 species